UUAAUUCUAGAUUGUAUUUCAGACACAGACAGACAGAUGUACGCAUUAAAUGCGACGCCCUCAGGCGCCGAAGCACGUCUCAAUUCCACGGGUUUGAGGGUGUGAAGGCCAUUAGGCCAUUCAGUAAUGAUCCCUCCGCAGGUUCACCUACGGAAA
rnacentral:misc_RNA from 1 species